rnacentral:lncRNA from 1 species
CGCUGCAGCUUGUCGGAUCAAAUUCCUUGGAACUGUUCUGUUGGUUCUCCAGAAGAGAGAUGGUUCCGGACGGAGCUGUGAAAGAUCGAAUCGCGAUGCGGCGAGGAAGAUGGGUUAUGGCCUUGCGGGAAGAGGAGGAAAGAAGAAGCCUGUUUCUCCCUCCAUGCAGAUGCAGAAAUGACCUUUUAUAGGGUGGCGUCCAUGCAAAUCAGACGCCGGGAAUUUCUGUGCUGCAGAUGCUCUUAUUUCUGCAUCAACGGCUGGGAUGGUAGUAUGGUCGUCUCUGAUCAUUUGACGGAUUUCGCAUGGCGGGUUUCUGAUAUUAGCCAUUUGACCGUACCACUCUGACCCUUGCCAUGCAUGGAUACCUAUGUUUAUAAAAUAUGGACGAGAUACAUGCAUAUAUAUAUAUAUUUAUAUUUUAAAUAAUUGGCUUUGUACAAUCCGUUAUCUUGGAGAUUUUACUUUAUGACUGAUAAAUGAUAUUUGUAUUGGCAUUUGCAGAUGAAAUAGAAGCGCGAUCGCUUAAUCCUGUGAUUAUAUGGAUUGAUCUGGAAGUAUCCUAUUCGGUCGGUUGUGUCAUGCACGGACGGAUGAGAUAUAUAUGCCGGUGAACAAAGUGCAAGAUAUGCUGUGGACGUCCUGUCUAUGCAUAGUGGGAGCGUAGUUUGGCUACUGUCUGACAUGUCAUCGAUUGUAGAUGUGCACCUACUGCUUGAACUGUCAAAACUUUGGAAGAGGCUUUACCAUGCAAGAAAAGGACGUCAAGUCAUGGCUAGAGCUGUGGGUGCCUAAAGAAAGGAACUUAUGCCCAUGUUUCCAAUCUGGAAUGCAGAAUCUUCAGCAAGUGGCAAUUCUCGAGGUACGUACGUUUGAUUGCUUCGUCCUCAAACAAACAUGAUAAUUUUUCAAGCAAUGGAUAAAUAAAAUCAAG